UACAGAGGUCUCAAGCGUUGUUCGGAAUUACUGGGCGUAAAGCGCGCGUAGGCGGCUUUGUAAGUUAGAGGUGAAAGCCCUCGGCUCAACCGAGGAAUUGCGCCCAAAACUGCUGCACUAGAGGAAGACAGAGGUACGCGGAACUUAGGGUGGAGCGGUGAAAUGCGUUGAUAUCCUAAGGAACACCGGUGGCGAAAGCGGCGUACUGGGUCUUAUCUGACGCUGAGGCACGAAAGCUAGGGGAGCGAACGGG
rnacentral:rRNA from 1 species